rnacentral:lncRNA from 1 species
CCUCUAGUUCCCAUUCUUGACCUGAAUCCCUUUUCUAGUUGGGAAUUUCUUGCUUCUCUUUUUAUUUUUUUUUCACCUGAUCAAGUUACAAGAAUUAGAUGAUAUAUAUAGAUACACAUACAUACAUACAUAUAUAUAUUAGAUAUAAUUCGCCUAUAUUUCAGCUAGAAGAUAACUUUUGGAGAAAAACAAUUUUUUUUCUGCUUAGUUGUGAGAAAAUGCCAGCAACAUAAAUUUCAGACCUCACAAAUAAGAACCAAUUUUUCUUUCAAUAGAAAUGAGCGGAGUGUUCGAGUAGAGAAUUGUCACUAUCAAUACUUGCCCAAAAGACUGAAUGGUCAUUAUCUAUUCCCAAGUUGUGAUAGAUAUGAAACAAGCAAUACCAUAAUGUUUUGCUUUCCUCCCUCUCACAGGGAAGGAGCAAGGGGCUUUGAGGGAGCCUUCUGAGAGGAGGAAGACCAUACUUAAUGCUAAUAACACGGGGAAGACGGAGACUGGGGAUUGCAGUACAGAGUUUUGAGUUUCCAAAAAAUUUUUGAUAAUGAUCCUGUUCUAGGGAUUUGAUGAGCGACAAACAUAAAAAUUUUAAAGUGAUCCAGAAACCUUUAAAACGAGAUCUAUCAUAUGACAAAUGCUCAUAAAUAGCAUGAGGAUUAGAUAAAAGAGGUUACUGACUUCCUCAAGGUGCCCAGAAAAUAACUGACAGCAUCCCAAGAACACAGUCCUUACUGUCCAGUACAAGCUCCUCUUCACUGUCCCAAGCCACACAUGUACUCUGAGCACACGUGUUAAUGAGACUCGUAUUGUGUAGUAAUUCUACUCUGAAGUUUGUUGCUUUGGCCUAUGGAUAGAUUGAGAACCUUCGAAGCAAUUAGCACCAAUGAUUGUUAGAAUGAGAGGAGCAAGGUUAGUGAUCUGCUCUAAAGAAGCAAGUGGCACCAUGCUGUGUGAGCUGACCAUUAGUCAGCAUCACUUUAACCCAGGAAAGCCUGCUGCUGAAGUGGCCUAAGGUGAUGAAUCACAAGGAGCAUCUUGCUCUUGACUUGGCUGCCAUUAAAGUGAUGCCAAGCACCACAUAACCAACUGAAAGGCGUCAAGGGGUUGGCAAGCCACUUGCACAACAGAGUUUGAUGUUAAGCAUCUGGGAGUUUCCAGCAUAUGAAGGAUACAUGGGGGUUCCGAAAUUACCUACAUCACUGAGCACUGUACAGCUGUCACUUAAUAUUUAAACUGGAUGAGAAAUCACAAAAACUCUGGUUUCUCAAAAGCAGAACUACAAGCUGUCAAAGUUGUUGGGUCCUUGGAGGCUAUCCCAACUUAAUUACUUAUUUCACAAAUGGAGAAACGUGCCAUUAUUCAUGUGGGCAGAAGAAAGAAUACGGAGCUAGAAUCCUUCCUGGGUAUCUUGUUUUAGGGGAUUAUAGACAUAGACUCUUAAGGAACACCAUCUGUGCAAGAGGCACAGCGCACUGACUAAAUGCAUGCUGAGAGUCUCCUGGUUAAAUCCACCCUCUUCCUGUUUCACUUCACAUGCAGAUGCUGGAAAGGGUAGGGACCUAAUGAGAGGCAGCAGUCAGCCCCUCCCAGCUGUUCUUGCUCUAACCACAUCCUGGUCAGGUGCCAUUAUUCCCUGGCUCCCCUGACUUAUUCUUCACACUGUCCUCACUGAUGAUGGCUUUCCUAAAGCACUGUUGCCCUUCCAAAAACACUCCAACAAGGCAAUUUAUAGCUGACCUAUGUUUUUCUAAUAAUGUUUUCUCUCCUCUCUUCAUCCUGGAAAUCCACGUGUCUCAGUUGCUCUCAAUCACUGCCACGAGUCUGGUGAUGCGCUAAGCUCGGGGCAGGAUCUCAAGGGCUUUGAGGAUGUCUGCAUCAUCUGUAUUGACCUGCUCCCCAGAUUAAUACCGAAGCACUGCAAUUUCUUGAGGAUUAUCCACCUAGGAGGAAAUGAUACGCUGGCCCAUCCAUAGUAGUCAAGAAACAGUCUGAGAUCCAAAAAGUGGCUUAAAAGAGGGAAAAGUUAAUCAAAAUGUCUGUGAAGCUCUGGCUUCAGUCUCUCCAGCGAGGCUUUCUGAAGCACAGCUCUGAUAGAACUAAACCCAAUGAGACACCGCCUACAAGAGGAAUCCAGCGUGUGAACGAAGACUAAAAAGCAAAACAGCAGCGUCUGGAGUGGACAGCUUCUCUCACUCAGAGAACUGUAGCCUCAAAUUCCUGGCAGAGGUUUCUUGGAAGAGAAGAAUGAGAUUGGAUCUGAGAAAAUGUGGCUGGUAAUGAACUCUACGAAGGGAUUUUUAUACUCUCUCUUUGGCAGUCCAUCCUGUGAAAUAAUAAUGAGGUUGGAGGAUGGCUGCUAACCAUCCCUUGCUUUUCCGUGCCAGGGAACCACCAUCUCAGAUGGUAGAAACCACUCAGAAGGAUCAACUGCUGCAGACGGGAAGAGGAGCAACCUCGUGAAUAAUUUCGUGACAGGAUAUUGCAGGAGGGACUUUGUCCAAAUGUGUGCAGGGUAGUUGGCUACAGCAACAAGGAUGACGAACACAGAUGAAUUGAUCAGGAUGUAACCAUUCAAAGUUGAGAGGAUUAGAGGACUUCUCCGAGGCGGCUCCAAUGGAUGCCAGCAGAGUUAAAGUGUCCAAUGGAGAGAAGAGAAGGCUUGGGAAAUCCAGAGUCCAUUCAUUCAUCGCCCUCCUCCUAGAACAACAAAAGCGAGCCCCAGUACUCAUCAGCAUGGACUCUGUGUGUAGUCAUCUCCCUUAGUUUCAGAGGUUCCUGCCUACAGCAAAACUUUAGAGGCUUAGAGUUUAACGGUCAUAGCUUAUUCACCUCCAACUGUGUCCUAGUUCAAGAGAAACACUUCACAUAUCUGUAGGGAGAAGAUAAUGAACCAAGGAUACAAGUUAAGCCUUAGCUAAGACCUGUUACUCAGGAAAAAGAGCUAAAACAAGCUGCUUAGAUCAGCACCAAUGUUAGGUAGAGAGAAAAAGAAACGCUGCAUAGAAAUCUUAAGGUUCACAUGUGCUCCAGGCUGGGUCAACAACUUCUAAUUUCCUUUGCCAACCAACCAUGUCUUUGACAGAAAUGAUCCUUCUACAUAGACCACAGAGGGAUCCAAUGGAGGUUUCUCUUCCUGAAUUUGGGGAUUCAGAAUCUGGACAAAUUCCUUUCCAUCAAAGUCCAGUACAAAAGUAGUACCAUGGCAGUCCCUGCAGGGACUUGCAUCACUUUCCCUAGAGAUAUCAAGAGAAUUUUUAGUGAUAAGAAUAUGGCACAAAAUGAGAAAUCCCAUUACUCUUAAGAGAAUCUCUUCCUUCUCAAAGGCACCUGAUUAAUACAUAUAGUACUAUCAGUAAGGCUGAGCAAAAGGAUACUGAUGUUCUGAGUGAUCUUAAAUCAUGUAAUAAUAACUUUAUUCGUAGUAUAGAACGGAAUAUUCCCUAUUAGUAAUCAGUUCCUUUGCCAGAUCCUCAUAGUAUCUUAGUCACUGUUUUAUUGUUAUGAAGAGAAACUUUGACCACAGCACCUCUUAGAAAAAAGGAAGCAUUUAAUCGGGACUUCCUUAUGGUUUCACAGUUUUACAUAAUUGUCAACAUGGCAGAGAACAUGGGGGCACGCAAACAGACAUGGUGCUGGAGAAGUAGCGGAGAAUAUACAGCAACAUAUAGAUACAAAAUAUAGAUACAUAUAGAUACAGAAUAUAGAUACAUAUAGCUACAUAUAGAUCUGCAGGCAGCAGGAAGAGACUGGGACAAGGCCAUACCUUCUAAGGCUUCUCAAGGAGUGUCACUUCCUGAUGACCAAGCAUUCAAGUGUAUGAGCUUAUGGGAGCCAUUCUUAUUCAAGCCACCACACAUAGCAAAGCUGAUAAUGUCAUUUUCUGAAUUAACCAGGCCAAGGCACACUUCUUAGCAACAUGGUUACCUGGUAACCAGAGAUUUUUCUCAUCCCAUGAGAGAUUUCAUUCAAGAACUGAUCUUCUAACAGUUUUGUCUCUCUUAAGAAUGCUACAGACAGGGUGGGGUGAGGCACAGUGCUGAAGCCCCUCAAGUUUCCCAGAGGGAUGAGUCCAUGAAAGACGAAAAUCAUGUGGUCACACUGAGCAUAGACUUCACAAGCAUCAUGCUAGGAUUCCAUUUUCUUUCUCAACACAAUGAUAAAUUCUUCUUCCAAUAAGCAGAAAAUCAUCCAAUGGGAAAAAAAAAUAAAACCAACUAACUUGCAGUCCUUUGGAACAGUUUCAUAGCUUACAGGAUGGCUUCAUAACCCUGGGGACACUCGUUUUGACAUGAAAACUUCCUUCAGAACAGGAAUUCUGAUCCAACAUGUGCUCAGACAUCAUUUCAGUCACUUGCAAAUGAACAAGAAAGCUCAUGUAAAUGAGGAGGCUCAACUCCCAGGCCUGGUGAGUGGGUAAGACAUUCCUCUGCUGGGUUUUGAAGGCUGUCUGAAACCAUCGGCUGACAUCCUUCUCUGUGUGCAUGUAUGCACUAUCUACGGGAAAUUCAGCUCCAACCGGUUGUCUCUACAGCUCCCUUAAUCUUCUCCUCCCUCCUCCUGGCAUUGGCAUGUGUCCCAGGACUGCAGCGAGGAGUGCUUACCAACAAAGGUGCUGGCAUCUGCAUUUGUUUCACAGCCACAAACCUAAUGGUUCCAUGAUUUUGGCGAGCAAAACUGUCAAAAUGCCUGAGCACAAGAGAUCACAAGAUGAGCCAAGGCAUAGUGUGCAUGCCUUCCUUCCCAGCACUCGGAAGGCAGAGGCAAGGGGAUCUCUGUGGGUUCAAGGCCAGCCUGAAUCACAAGGUGUACUGGGGAUUCUUUUUUAUUGUUUUCCUUUUGCUAUCUGGAAUAGUUUGAGAUUGUAUUUGAUCAGUGCAUUAAACAAC